CCUGAUGGCUUUUGAAGGUGGAGAUCGUGUGAAGAUUUGCUCUCAGGGGAGCUGUUGCUCUGAGCUGCAGAGAUGCUGUACCGAAGCUCUGACAUGCUGAGCCCUGUCCAAUUCCUCCAAAGCACGCUGUUCCAUGUACCUUUGAGAUGCCAGCUCCUCCAGGGUGAGGUGGGCUGUGCAGCAGAGCUGUCCCCGCUCACACUGUAAUCCUCAGCCCUCAGCUGUCAGCGUCUCGGAUGAGUUCUUGGAGGGUAUCCAGACAAACACAGGAGAGAUUUCAACUGCUGCGAUCCCCUGUCCUAUUUUAUCUCAUUUCUGACAGCCCAUGUCUGCUGAGGCUGGGAAGUGGUGA
rnacentral:lncRNA from 1 species